GACGAACGCUGGCGGCGUGCCUAACACAUGCAAGUCGAGCGAUGAAAUUCCUUCGGGAAUGGAUUAGCGGCGGACGGGUGAGUAACACGUGGGUAACCUGCCUCAUAGAGGGGAAUAGCCUUCCGAAAGGAAGAUUAAUACCGCAUAAUGUAGUACCUUCGCAUGAAGGAACUAUCAAAAGAGCAAUCUGCUAUGAGAUGGACCCGCGGCGCAUUAGCUAGUUGGUGAGGUAACGGCUCACCAAGGCGACGAUGCGUAGCCGACCUGAGAGGGUGAUCGGCCACAUUGGAACUGAGACACGGUCCAGACUCCUACGGGAGGCAGCAGUGGGGAAUAUUGCGCAAUGGGGGAAACCCUGACGCAGCAACGUCGCGUGAAUGAAGAAGGCCUUCGGGUUGUAAAGUUCUGUCUUAUGGGAAGAUAAUGACGGUACCAUAGGAGGAAGCCACGGCUAACUACGUGCCAGCCGCCGCGGUAA
rnacentral:rRNA from 1 species